AAGGGUUAGGGCUUCCUUGCCAGAGCAGCGAGAGGGAAGAAGACGCUGAGAGAGAGAGAGAGAGAGAGAGAGAGAGGGAAGGAGACGCUGAGAGAGGGAGAAGGAGACGUUGGGGCAGAGCAGGUAGGUGCACUUUCAAUGCAGCUGCGUUUCCACCACCCUCUCCCAAAUUCGAAAUGGACAGCCGUUGCCUGUAACAAAGUAACCUGUGACUUGAAAAACACCUAAUUCCUCUGUUGCAUUUCUUGAAAUCUGACCUGAUAGAGAGUUACAGGUUGAGACUUUGUUACCUGUAACAUUUCUCCCCCAAACACAAACUGUAAGAAAGUCACCUGUAACUUUCUUACAUUUUACGGAAGUCACAGGCAUCCAAACGGCUCCUUGCCUCCUUCGGUUUUCUAUUCCUUGACAGCAGCAGAAGCAAAUAGCAGCAACGAUGCCUAGACGCCCACUACGACAAGGAAAACGAAAACGAAGGAGCUGCUUCUCAAAACCCCAAUUCCUCGCCUUUUCUCCCUUUGCUCGCUCCGUCUCGCUAUUUGCAUCCAGACGCCCCUCAAACUCGAAAUCUCGCCCCAAAAUCCCUUCUGAAUCUCGAGGCAAUCAUGCUUUGAAAGAGAAGAUCCAACGGCCCGAAUCUUCCGAUGAGGAUGAGCAUGAAGACACUGUGCAAGCAGAUUUUGCCUUUUUUGAUCCCAAACCAGAUGAUUUUCAUGGAGUGAAGAUUUUGCUACAGACCUACCUUAACAAUGAGCAAUGGGAUUUGAGCGGUCUUGUUGACUUGAUCCUCGGACAAACUACAGUUGGGACGGUUGUUAAGAUAGAUGAUGAAGAAGAUGAUGGGUUGUUUUCUGUCAUUACCGCCCUUAACUUGGGGCGCUACAAGGAUCAUCAAUGCAUUAUCGAGCUUAAGAAAUAUCUUCUUAAAGUUUGUCAAGACAAAGAUGUAAAGAGUGACCUAAAUGUGCUAUUGGGAGAGAAAGCAAAGGAUGUGGGUCUCUUGGUAUCUCAACGAGUGGUCAAUCUUCCCCCUCAACUUUUGCCUCCACAAUAUGAUGCCCUCUUUGAUGAAGUCUCAUGGGCAAUAGAAGAUGAGCCAACGGCUGAGCUUCGGGAUUCUUUUCGCUUCAAGUUUUAUCUACUCAUCACAAGAAUAUACAAGAACAAAAAUGCGGAACAACAGAAGGGAGCAUCAAAAGUUCAUGAGCCAAUUAUAUAUAUCAAGCCGGAGGAUGAAAUUUUUCACAAGCUUAGCUCAUGGUCCUUCACUUAUCCUCUACACACCCAAGAGGUGGCCGCUCAUGAGCUGAGGAAUUAUAGGCUAAUGGGAUUAGUCAUGUUCGUAAAAGUGGACAAAAUUCCUGCAUUCCAGGAAGAGUUAAAAUCCUUGGUAGCUGAAUCAGAAGACUGAAGGUGCACAGUUGGUAUAUCCGUCUCUCAAUCAUAACAAGUCGCUGAAAUUUUGCUAUGUUUUCACCCUUUCCCAAUCACAGCGGAGGAAUUAUAGGCUAAUGGGACUAGUCAUGUCAGUACAAGAGGACAAAUUUGCAGCAUUCUGAGAAGAGUUAAAUCCUUGGUAGCUGAAUUAGAAGACUGAAGAUAUAUCAUCUUUAUGCAUUACAAUGUUUCUUCCGUUCAAAGCUGCAAUUGCUGGCCCAUGUUCUGGUGUCGAUUUGCAUUUGGUACUUCUGAUGUAGAGCGGGUUGCAGACACUUUCAUGUCCAAGAUGGAUCAGAGAAGGCCCGAUCGGAGGCAGAAGUCAUCAAGACCGUCAGAACUUUAAAACAGACAUAUCUCGCAAACCGGAAUGAGUUACUCGACGUACCAUAUAUUUACAACCAUUUAAAUAAGGAUACCAAGCUUUGGAAGAAGUUUUGGUAUUAAACUACAACUAAAACUCCCUAAAAUUUGUAACUUCCUAUAAAUGGUAAAUUUACUAUUUAUAGUAAGGGUCCUAUAUGGUAUUCUCCUAAUUUUUCUAAACACUUUUCAUGUUGGACACAACUCCUAAGGCCCAACGGAUGAGGAGUUAUAAUCAAACUAAACUUACUAUAAAUAGUAAAAAGGGAAAUAAAAUUGAUUUUUGACCGUCGAUCUGAUGGAAUCUCGCAAAUUCGGCUUGGACAACCUGGUAUAGUAGCUCGUCUUAACCCAAAAUCAUAUAUGUUACGUCGAGUAACUCAUUUCAGUUUGUGAGAUAUGCCUCUUUUAAGGUUCUGACGGUCUUGAUGACUUCUGCCUCCGAUUGGGCCUUCUCUGAUCCAUCUUGAACAUGAAAGUGUCUGCGACCUGCUCUACGUCAGCUUCCCAUUGUGCCAUGCCAUAUGGUGUGUGAGAAUUUUCCUGCUCAAUUGAAAGUGCAAAACGCUUCUGAUAAUGAUUUCCUGCAAUCAGGUGCACAGUUGGCAUUAUCUACCUCUCAAUCGUAACAAGUGGCUGAAAUUUUGCUAUGUGUUUUCACCCUUUCUCAAUCACAGGUGGGACAGUAAACUCCGAAAAUUUUGCAGUAAAGAUGCUAGUUUUUCUUAAUUUAAGCAGUACAGCUUGAAGCAAAUUUUUAUGAUUAAUUUUAUUUUUCAUCUAUAGAUGCGUGUAAAAUUCUUUAAGACACAUCCAAACAGCCCAUGUAGGGCCUAUUUGGUUUUCCAAUUACGAUGAUAAAUGACUUUAAAUGGGAAUGAUUAUUUACUCUUGUAAUUGCGUGGGUGACAUCGCUUACAUUUGAUUGCAA